AAGAGCUCAUCAAGUUUACCAGUUUGUUUCAGUUUCAACUAUGGUUCUGAAAGUCAGUUUUCUUCUCCUUAUCGCCUGUGCUAUCAUUCCCCCAUCAUCAUCUGCGCCAUCAGGCGACUUGUCCAAACGUGAUUUGAUGAUACCGCAGAUUAGCUGCACUUCUAAUUUUCAUCCUUGCACCACCAGCGAAGAGUGCAUCUGUGCUGUUGCUACCUUGGAGUGUUUAGAGGUUGGACACGAUGGUGCCCGUAGAUGUCUGCUAUCUCAUCACAAUA